rnacentral:rRNA from 1 species
AUUGAACGCUGGCGGCAGGCCUAACACAUGCAAGUCGAACGAGUGGCGGACGGGUGAGUAAUGUCUGGGAAACAGCCUGAUGGAGGGGGAUAACUACUGGAAACGGUAGCUAAUACCGCACACCAUCAGAUGUGUCCAGAUGGGAUUAGCUAGUAGGUGAGGUAACGGCUACCCUAGGCGACGAUCCCCAGCUGGUCUGAGAGGAUGACCAGCCACACGGGAACUGAGAAACGGUCCAGACGCCUACGGGAGGCAGCAGUGGGGAAUAUUGCACAAUGGGCGCAAGCCUGAUGCAGCCAUGCCGCGUGUAUGAAGAAGGCCUUCGGGUUGUAAAGUACUUUCAGCGGGGAGGCGUUACCCGCAGAAGAAGCACCGGCUAACUCCGUGCCAGCAGCCGCGGUAAUUC